rnacentral:rRNA from 1 species
CUUUUUGAUUUAAAUAUAAAGUAUAACCUGCCCAUUGAAAUUUUUAAAAGGCUGCGGUAUAUUGACCGUACAAAGGUAGCAUAAUCAUUAGUUUUUUAAUUGAGAACUUGUAUGAAUGGUUGAAUGAGAAAUUAACUUUUUUAAUAAAAAAAUUGAAUUUUACAUUUUAAUUAAAAGGUUAAAAUGUAUUUAAAAGACGAGAAGACCCUAUAGAGUUUUAUAAUUUAUAACUUAAUAUUAAAAAAAAUUAAUAGAUAUUUUUAUUUAAAUCAUUAUUUUGUUGGGGUGAUGAUAAAAUUUAAUUAACUUUUAUUUUUUUUUACAUUAAUAUAUGGAAAAUUGAUCCACUAUUAGUGAUUAAAAGAUUAAAUUACCUUAGGGAUAACAGCGUAAUUUUUUUUUUAAGUUCAUAUUAAUAAAAAAUUUUGCGACCUCGAUGUUGGAUUAAGAUUUAAUUUUAGGUGCAGAAGUUUAAAAUUUAAGUCUGUUCGACUUUUAAAUUCUU